AGGGAAAUAGGUUAAUAUUCCUAUGCCAGUGUGCACUCAAAGCCGACGCUUUGGGGCCGCCUGAGCUGGGCUUUCGCCCAGUCGAACUGUCGAAGUUCGUGGAAGCCGUAAUGGCACGAAGCGACCGAAUGACAGGAUAGCGCAAGUCAGGUCAACCUAGAGCCCGUGAAAAGGCGAGCACACUGUCCGUACCGAGAUCCGACACAGGUACUCGUGGCGGCGAAAGCCAAGGUCUGUCGGGAGCAACCGACGUUAGGGAAUUCGGCAAGUUAGUCCCGUACGUUCGCAAUAAGGGAUGCCUGCCUCGCGAAGAGGCAGGUCGCAGUGACUCGGGCGCUCCAACUGUCUAGUAACAACAUAGGUGACCGCAAAUCCGCAAGGACUCGUACGGUCACUGAAUCCUGCCCAGUGCGGGUAUCUGAACACCCCUUACAAGGGGACGAAGGACCCGUUAACGGCGGGGGUAACUAUGACCCUCUUAAGGUAGCGUAGUACCUUGCCGCUUCAGUAGCGGCUUGCAUGAAUGGAUCAAUGAGAGCGCCACUGUCCCAACGUUGGGCCCGGUGAACUGUACGUUCCAGUGCGGAGUCUGGAGACCCCCAAGGGGAAGCGAAGACCCUAUAGAGCUUUACUGCAGGCUGUCACUGAGACGUGGUCGCCAUUGUGCAGCAUAGGUAGGAGCCGUUACACAGGUACCCGCGCUAGCGGGCCACCGAGGCAGCAUUGAAAUACUACCCGAUGGUGACUGCGACUCUCACUCCUGGCGGAGGACACUGGUAGCCGGGCAGUUUGACUGGGGCGGUACGCGCCUGAAAAGAUAUCGGGCGCGCCCCAAGAUUUCCUCACCCGUGUCGGAGACGCGGGAAAGAGCGCAAGAGCAUACGGAAGUCUGACAGUGUCCGGCACAACGACGGACGCUGACGCGAAAGCGUGGUCUAGCGAACCAAUUAGGCUGCUUGAUGCGGCCAAUUGCUGACAGAAAAGCUACCUUAGGGAUAACAGAGUCGUCACCCGCAAGAGCACAUAUCGACCGGGUGGCUUGCUACCUCGAUGUCGGUUCCCUCCAUCCUGCCUGUGCAGAAGCAGGCAAGGGUGAGGUUGUUCGCCUAUUAAAGGAGGUCGUGAGCUGGGUUUAGACCGUCGUGAGACAGGUCGGCUGCUAUCUAUUGGGGGUGUUACGGUAUCUGACGGGAACGUUCGUAUAGUACGAGAGGAACUACGAAUGGGUGCCACUCGUGUACCGGCUGUCCGAGAGGGCACGUGCCGGGCAGCGACGCACCACGGGGUAAGAGCUGAACGCAUCUAAGCUCGAAACCCACCUGAAAAAGAGAUACCACCGAGAUCACUCGUAAAAGACGAGGUCGAUAGACUCGGGGUGUACGCACCAAGGCAACGAGGUGUUGAGCCCGCGAGCACUAACUGAUCGAGCCACACACU
rnacentral:rRNA from 1 species